UAUUCAGGGCCUGUGGGUUUGCGCUAAAGAUGUGCUAACCGUGUUAAAAAUAGAUGCUCCACUAGAUGCUUCACGUUCUGUACCUAGCUUGCGAAUGUACCGAAUGAGUUUCGGGAGAUAUCCUGUAUGCAACCCCCCCCCUGUAUGUUUGGUUUAGAAAACCAUGGCUGUGAAUUCAUAGAGCCAUUCUGUCUGCAACAGGUUUGUUGGGGUACAGGGCGUUGAUUGGAUAUCAGUGUUUAACCCCGGGCGGUCGGCAGAUAUCUGGACAUGACAUAUGCCUGAUAGUGCAAACCUUGGCUUCAAACGAUUCUCUACAGAUAGAAUGGGGCUCCAUGCUUGGGCCCCCUGUUGAACACACACACUUUUGUUUCUGUAACGCACACACACACACAAACUCCUGUUGCUCCGUCACACGCACAGUCAUGCACGCCCCCGGAUUUUACAGUCUUUUUCCUUCGGGACAGAGCUUGGUGAUGAUGUGAAAUACAUUUUACCAUCGUUAAGGGACAUUACAUUUCCUCGUGACAGACCGGGGUGUUGGAUGGAAAGGACAUUUUCCUGUCAUUAAAGGUUCUCACGGAAGGUGAUAAUUCUGACUAAAACUACAGAAUAAAGCCGCCAGUUAAAAUCAAGGAACGGUUGUGCUCGUGGUUACUGAAGGGAGCUACAGAGGAGGAGGAGAUGACUGUCACAUUGGAGGAAGAAAAGGAGGUUGGAGAUCUAGU